UACGGGGGGGGGCAAGCGUUGUUCGGAAUUACUGGGCGUAAAGGGCGCGUAGGCGGCCUACUAAGUCGGACGUGAAAUCCCUCGGCUCAACCGGGGAACUGCGUCCGAUGACUGGUGGGCUCGAAUCCGGGGAGAGGGAUGUGGAAUUCCAGGUGUAGCGGUGAAAUGCGUAGAUAUCUGGAGGACACCGGUGGCGAAGG
rnacentral:rRNA from 1 species